rnacentral:rRNA from 1 species
CAAUAGCGUAUAUUUAAGUUGCUGCAGUUAAAAAGCUCGUAGUUGGAUUUCGGGUGGGAAUGGCCGGUCCGCCGUUUCGGUGUGCACUUGCUACGCCCACCUUGCUGCCGGGGACGUGCUCUUGAGUUCACGCUCGGGACACGGAGUCGGCGAGGUACUUUGAGUAAAUUAGAGUGUUCAAAGCAGGCCUACGCUCUGAAUACAUUAGCAUGGAAUAACACGAUAGGACUCUGGCCUAUCUUGUUGGUCUGUAGGACCGGAGUAAUGAUUAAGAGGGACAGUCGGGGGCAUUCGUAUUUCAUUGUCAGAGGUGAAAUUCUUGGAUUUAUGAAAGACGAACUACUGCGAAAGCAUUUGCCAAGGAUGUUUUCAUUAA